rnacentral:ncRNA from 2 species
AACACUGGCUCGGGGUGCUCGAAUUGGUCAACCAAUUCUAUGCUGAGAUCAUACCCGUUGAACCUGAAUCAACAUAAUUGUUGCGAAGGAAAGUCACAAAUAUAUAUA